UGUGUGGAUUGAAGUGGUCCCCACACAUUGUUGUGGCCAAUUUUAAUUGGUCCAACACAUGUGUGGGCCCAAAGACAAUAAGAGAUAUUUUAAGGGGACUUAAAAGAUGACCACUUAGUCAUCUUUCUCUCAUUUCACAUUCCCACACUUAGAAAAUAAAGCAAGAAGUUGAGGAACCAAAACCAUGGCUCACGGCCAAGACCAUGGAAAACCAAAUCCAAAUCAAGCCCCUCUAAAAAUAUUUCUUGGGUACAAAUCAACUAAUUAGAGGUCCCUAAGUAACUUGGAAGCAUUGUUGGAGUGAUCAAGUCUUUCAUUUAAGAGAUUUGCAAACCCUAGCCUAUUGGUGGAUUGAAGAAGAAAGACCUUGGGGAGCCCGAGGCGUGGAUUGGAAAUUUACUUUAGAUUGGCUAUUUUGGAAGUGCGUACGAGGUACAGACGCACAGCCUGGUGAUCCACCUGUUUAGGACACCCUUUCUGCUAUUCGGAGUGCUCCUCUCUUUCCGGAGCUUAUACUUUUGGUAUAUAUAUUUAUUAGUGCAUUUGUAUAUAUUCGUUCAUGGGUACGGCGGGGCCCUGUCCCGUCAUAUGAUUCUGUCGGUCUGUUUAGAGGUCUGUGGACAUGUUUGUGGGUUAGGGUCUUUCUGUAUGGAUGUAUGUACAUGUCGUUUGGGCGAUCCCAUACGCCGAGGCGGCCGGUCCGCAUAUGUUGUUUGGGCGAUCCUAUACGCCGAGGCGGCCGGUCCGCAUAUGUUUAUAUAUUGCUUGGUUAGCCCUGUGUGGCUUUUGUUGGUAUUUUCUGCGUGCAGGGUAUAUUGGAUAGUCCGUAAAACAAAGGAAACUCUGCCGAAAUUUUUCUGGAAAUUACCUAAAUUUGAAAUAAAGCCUUGUCGGCUUCCGCCAUAUACUAGAAUGAGUUGAUAGAAUUUGAGAUAAUAUUUGAUAGAUGGGUUCGGGUGCCCAGAUCGGGCACUAGUCACGGCCUACGGGGUUGGGUCGUGACAAUGGACCUAUCCACGAUCCCUUAGGUUUACGCAGUUUUUUUUUUUUUUCAGUUUGGAAUUUAGGGUUUGACAUUUUUUUAUUUUUUAUUUUUAAAUUAUUUUUACUAGCUUUAUACUUGUGUCCAUUCACCAGGCUUCUCAUUCCAAAAUAGUCCCUUUUAUUUAUGGUCUAUAAUCGAUCAUCAACAUCAAGGUCUAUAAUAGAUCAUAGCUUGUGGUUAUUAUAGAUAUGGUAUUUGUUUGGUUAUUAAUCGACUCAACAAACAACAUUAAAUCAACAGAAAACAGAAAGUAUC